UCCGUAGGUGAACCUGCGGAAGGAUCAUUACAGUAGUCACCCAGGUUGCCGCAAGGCCUCCUGGGUAACCUACCACCCUUUGUUUAUUACACUUUGUUGCUUUGGCAAGCCUGCCCUCGGGCUGCUGGCUCCGGCCGGCGAGCGCUUGCCAGAGGACCUAAACUCUGUUUGUCUAUACUGUCUGAGUACUAUAUAAUAGUUAAAACUUUCAACAACGGAUCUCUUGGCUCUCGCAUCGAUGAAGAACGCAGCGAAAUGCGAUACGUAAUGUGAAUUGCAGAAUUCAGUGAAUCAUCGAAUCUUUGAACGCAUAUUGCGCUCUUUGGUAUUCCGAAGAGCAUGCUUGUUUGAGUAUCAGUAAACACCUCAAAGCCUUUUUUCUUUUUUGAACAAAGGCUUUGGACUUGAGCAAUCCCAACACCAAUCUUUUUAAAGAGAGGGGGCGGGUUGCUUGAAAUGCAGGUGCAGCUGGACAUUCUUCUGAGCUAAAAGCAUAUUUAUUUAGUCCCGUCAAACGGAUUAUUACUUUUGCUCUAGCUAAUAUAAAGGUCGAAUGCGCUAUAUGCUGACUGAUGCAGGAUUACCAAGUUUUACCUAGUAAAACUUGUAAACUCGAUCUCAAAUCAAGUAAGACUACCCGCUGAACUUAAGCAUAUCAAUAAGCGGAGGA
rnacentral:rRNA from 1 species